rnacentral:rRNA from 1 species
GAUGAACGCUGGCGGCGUGCCUAAUACAUGCAAGUCGAGCGAACAGACGAGGAGCUUGCUCCUCUGAUGUUAGCGGCGGACGGGUGAGUAACACGUGGAUAACCUACCUAUAAGACUGGGAUAACUUCGGGAAACCGUAGCUAAUACCGGAUAAUAUUUUGAACCGCAUGGUUCAAUAGUGAAAGACGGUCUUGCUGUCACUUAUAGAUGGAUCCGCGCUGCAUUAGCUAGUUGGUAAGGUAACGGCUUACCAAGGCAACGAUGCAUAGCCGACCUGAGAGGGUGAUCGGCCACACUGGAACUGAGACACGGUCCAGACUCCUACGGGAGGCAGCAGUAGGGAAUCUUCCGCAAUGGGCGAAAGCCUGACGGAGCAACGCCGCGUGAGUGAUGAAGGUCUUCGGAUCGUAAAACUCUGUUAUUAGGGAAGAACAAAUGUGUAAGUAACUAUGCACAUCUUGACGGUACCUAAUCAGAAAGCCACGGCUAACUACGUG